GGUUAAGUUAAUAAGGGCGCACGGUGAAUGCCUUGGCACUAGGAGCCGAUGAAGGACGGUACUAACACCGAUAUGCUUCGGGGAGCUGUAAGUAAG
rnacentral:rRNA from 1 species